rnacentral:rRNA from 1 species
AACGAACGCUGGCGGCAGGCCUAACACAUGCAAGUCGAGCGAAGCCUUCGGGCUUAGCGGCGGACGGGUGAGUAACGCGUGGGAACGUGCCCUUUGGUACGGAAUAGCCCCGGGAAACUGGGAGUAAUACCGUAUGUGGUCGAGAGACGAAAGAUUUAUCGCCAAAGGAUCGGCCCGCGUUGGAUUAGGUAGUUGGUGGGGUCAUGGCCUACCAAGCCGACGAAUCAUAGCUGGUUAUAGAGGAUGAUCAGCCACACUGGGACUGAGACACGGCCCAGUCUCCUACGGGAGGCAGCAGUGGGGAAUCUUAGACAAUGGGGGAAACCCUGAUCUAGCCAUGCCGCGUGAUCGAUGAAGGCCUUAGGGUUGUAAAAAUCUUUCAGCGGGGAAGAUAAUGACUGUACCCACAGAAGAAGCCCCGGCUAACUCCGUGCCAGCAGCCGCAGUAAGAC